AUACGUAGGGAGCGAGCGUUGUCCGGAUUUACUGGGUGUAAAGGGUGCGUAGGCGGCUCUGCAAGUCAGGUGUGAAAACCAUCAGCUUAACUGAUGGACUGCAUUUGAAACUGUGGGGCUUGAGUGGAGUAGAGGCAGACGGAAUUCCCGGUGUAGCGGUGAAAUGCGUAGAGAUCGGGAAGAACACCAGUGGCGAAGGCGACUUUCUGGACUGUAACUGACGCUGAGGCGCGAAAGCGUGGGGAGCAAACAGGUUUAGAUACCCUGGUAGUCCACGCCGUAAACGAUGAGUGCUAGGUGUAGAGGGUAUCGACCCCUUCUGUGCCGCAGUAAACACAAUAAGCACUCCGCCUGGGGAGUACGGCCGCAAGGCUGAA
rnacentral:rRNA from 1 species